ensembl:lncRNA
AGAUAAUAUAGAAGACAGCGCGCUAGCGUAUCUAGUCUUCUAUAUAUAUCUGUGGUAGGCACGUCUGGUAGCAUCUCUGGCUGCUGUUGACCUUGUUUUUGGUGUAAAACACGGUGGAAGCUGAAUUAGUGAGGAUGACUCCUGCUCCUGUCAUCUCUAAACUCCUCACACAUCUUUACCUGCACAUGAGGAAAAUCACUCCUGUAGAAUGCAGACAUUUCUGUUGUGUUGUAGACGUCACUUGUUGAUGCUCCAUUCAUGAGGGUAGCACCAUCUGUUGGGAAAACAUCGUACAACAGGACACAGAGUUAUCGUGAUUUGAUGAAACUUAGAAAGAGGUAUGUAUAUGUAUAGAAGUACUUACAAAAAUGAAAUAUCUAUUAAAAAAAUUUAUUUUCCUGAUGUGUGUACAUUAUUUUGGCUGACUCUAAACUUAUUGAGAACAAAACUGUCAUUUAAUUGUUGCUCUGAAAGCUUCUUUAGUGAAAACUGGCUGGUGUUCUGCUUUGAAACAAACUGCUGUUGAGGUCUGUGUUUUUAGGUUUAACCCCACAGUUUCUGAAUGAACUGGUAGGUUUUUUUUUCCCUGAUCAAUGUGGACGUUCUAAUUGAUGGUAACAUUUACUGAUCAUAUAAUCAGCAUGACAAUAUAACAGUAUAACAUUCUGACCACCUGACUAAUACUGUGUUGGUCCCUUCAUGCUGCUAAAACUCCUCUGACCCAG